UGGCCUAUAUGACUUUUGAUAGUGGUUAUGAUAUUAUGCUAUUCAUUUAUGACUUUCUGUAUCGUUAUUAUUACUUUUCAUUGUAUAAAUCAGGAAAAAUAAUUCUAUUUAAACAUACCAUUUAAUGGUAUAUCCUACAAUUAGGAAGAAUAGGUCAUGGUUACUAUUCAUGCAGUUGUAUUGAGCAUCAAGAUGUUAAUG
rnacentral:lncRNA from 1 species